rnacentral:misc_RNA from 1 species
AUUUAGAAGGUCUAUGGUCAGACAGCAUGUAGAUAAUAUGGUUAUGUUGUGAUUUUUUAAAAUGUGUUCUACUUCACAGUAAAAGUUUUUAACAAUAAAAAUUGAUAAUGCAAUUAUUUGUAUUCACCUCCAACAUAAUCUAAAAUAAAAUGCCGAAAGCAGUAGCAGUAAAAGGCAACGUGCUUUCGUAUAAAGGUAGUGCGUACCUUCGACAACGUUUAGUUUUGGCUGUAUUAAGUGGGAAAAGUGUUAAAAUCGAAGAUAUUAGAAAAUAUGAUAUAGAUCCUGGUAUACAAGAGUUUGAAGUAAACUUAGUGCGAUUGCUUGAUAAAGUAACAAAUGGUUCUUAUAUUAAAUUGGAUGAAACAGGUACAAGUUUAUUUUUUCAACCAGGAAUGAUUCAUGGGGGCACUAUUGAACAUGACUGUUCCCUUGACCGUUCAAUAGGUUAUUAUUUAGAAGUAUUAAUUUUAUUGGCUCCCUUUUGUAAAAAUCCUCUGCAUGUAACUCUCAAAGGUGUGACAAACAAUAAAAUAGAUCCUUCAGUAGACCACAUAAAGGCUUCAGUGUUACCUGUUCUUAGAAAGUUUAUGUUGAAUGAUGAAGGUUUGGAACUUAAAAUAUUAAAAAGAGGUAUGAGACCACUUGGAGGUGGAGAAGUUGUAUUUAAAUGCCCCAUUCAAAAUCAACUUAAUCCUGUUCAUAUAUUAAAUCAAGGAAAGGUAAAGAGGAUCCGAGGUACAGCUUAUGCUGUAAGAGUUUCACCAACCAUGGCAAAUCGAAUGGUAGAAGCUGCUAAAGGAGUGUUACUGAAGUUUAUUCCUGAUGUUUUCGUAACUACUGAUCAUUGCAGGGGUAAACAGUCAGGAAAUAGUCCAGGCUUUGGCAUUCAUUUAGUUGCUGAAACCACUGAAGGGGUAUUUUAUUCAGCAGAAGCAAUUUCCAACCUCGUCGCUGAAGAUAAAGAACCUUCUGUUGCUGAAGAUGUUGGUGUAACUGCAGCCCAAAGAUUGCUCAUAGAAAUAUACCAAGGAGGAUGCGUCGAUUCUGUUGCUCAAUCAAUAGCAUGCGUUUUUAUGACCCUAGGCCAAAAAAAUGUUUCAAGAAUAAUUGUUGGAUCACUUACCGACUAUACAAUCGCUUUCCUACGGAAUAUUCGGGACUUUUUUGGCAUCACGUUCAAGGUUGAUUACUACAUUGAAGAAGAUUCUAAUCCUGAAGAGCAAGAAGGUGCACCUAAAAUCAGUUUGAUUUGCAUUGGUGCUGGAUAUACAAAUUUGAACAAACGUUAUCUCUAGUGAAGUUUACUUUAGGUAAUUGUUAUUUCUUUCUGUUUUAUUAAUUUGUUGGUCAGGCAAAACUGUUUAAUACUUGACUAAUAUAUUUUAUUUUUUUAAUUAUAAAUAAGUAAUUAAUUUUAAAAGCCCAAUUUAAACUUUUUUACCUUAAAACUUCAAGUAAUAAACAGUUACUUAACAUAUUAAUUUGGUGAAUAUCACAUUGGGAUGUUUAUAAGCACUACAUUGUAAUUAAAUUAUUUAUAAAUUUCUACACAAAUUUACUGAG